GCUGUCAGCUUGUUAGCUUCCCCCAGCAUGCUCACUACAAACAGUAGCUCUACAUGCACGCUCACGGAAUCAGAGAGGCAUGCUCGCACGCAUGCUCGCGUCCAUGCAAGGCGUACCGCAGCAAAAGAAGUCGCCUCACACCUGACGGUGCUCCGCUGUGAGCAAGAAUGGAAAAAGCUGCCCUGUUCUUUGUGCUUCAGUCAAACCCGUCUUGUCUUCCUAGACAUUCAUAGCUUGACGAUAUCAGUGCUGAGUCGUGAACUGGUCACUGAUGUAUUGAGGACACGGUAGGUGCAGUACAGAAACCGUUUCAAGAGUGCUGUGACGAUACCGUAGGGUCGGCGUGAACUGUGAACCAGCGAGGCGCAGUCCUCCUCCCUGACGCUGCAGGGAUCGGGCUGAAAGAGAUUGUGUGUGACACGGGUAGUGAACAUCGACAAUCAGCUGUCCUGCUCCAAACGAGCUCUCGGGAGCAGACACUGGCACCACCAGCAGCAGCAGCAGCAGCAGCAGCAGCAGCAGCAGCAGUGGAAUAAUACCCAUAGUGGCACGAAGGCUCCAUUCAAACGUUUACUACUAAACAGGGUCGGCGUGAACUGUGAACCAGCGAGGCGCAGUCCUCCUCCCUGACGCUGCAGGGAUCGGGCUGAAAGAGACUGUGUGUGACACGGGUAGUGAACAUCGACAAUCAGCUGUCCUGCUGCAAACGAGCUCUCGAGAGCAGACACUGUCACCACCACCACCACCACUACCAGCAGCAGCAGCAGCAGCAGCAGUGGAAUAAUACCCAUAGUGUCACGAAGGCUCCAUUCAAACGUUGACUCCUAAACAGGCAGCAGCAGCAGCAGCAGCAGCAGCAGCAGCAAGAGCCACAGCAGCAGCAGCAGCACUAACAGGAGCAACAGAGAGCCACACUAAUGCAGAGAGAACGGUUGCACUUGCUGCCACUACAGCUUUCUCCGGAUACUCUCACAUCGCCUCGGACCCCAUGGUCACUGCUAGUUCUAGCGAUAUGUUAAGAAACCUAGGUACAACAGCCACCAACCAUGCAACAACCAACAACUGUACCACCUCGUCCACUAGUAAAGUUACAACAGCCACAGUGGGUACAACAGCCACAGUGGGUACAACAGCCACAGUGGGUACAACAGCCACAGUGGGUACAACAGCCACAGUGGGUACAACAGCCACAGUGGGUACAACAGCCACAGUGGGUAC